rnacentral:rRNA from 1 species
CGGGUGAGUAACACGUAUCCAACCUGCCGUCUACUCUUGGACAGCCUUCUGAAAGGAAGAUUAAUACAAGAUGGCAUCAUGAGUCCGCAUGUUCACAUGAUUAAAGGUAUUCCGGCAGACGAUGGGGAUGCGUUCCAUUAGAUAGUAGGCGGGGUAACGGCCCACCUAGUCUUCGAUGGGUAGGGGUUCUGAGAGGAAGGUCCCCCACAUUGGAACUGAGACACGGUCCAA